rnacentral:lncRNA from 1 species
CUCUCUCUUUGAACUCAACAACAACAAAAUUCUUCUUGCAAAGGAAUCCCUCAAUACGCUGCCGUUUUGACUAGGGUUCUUUCAUUUCUCCACGAUUACAUUCAACCAGUUCUCAUCUCAACAUUACGCAACUAAUCUCUCAGACGUACGUUUCUUCUUCACUUCAGAUUCAAACUGCCGUUAAAACAUGUGCCGGUGAGUACAAUUUUUUGUUAUUAUUAUUAGUAUUCUUUUUUAUGUCUUUAUUUUUAGCCUGUGCUGAGAUCUGUCUAUUAACGCCGUCGUUUUGAACUAAGUUAAAGAUCGUAAAACUCUGUUUAGUUCAUUUGAGAAAAAUCCAGUUAUUUUUAGUGAAUGAAUUUCAGAUUUUAUUUUUAGCGCACGUGUUUAUUUUGCCAGUUCCUAUAUGUAGUUAGAAAUUUGAACUAAUAUGAUUUGCGUUGUGAUUAUAUAUAAUGCACGUACAAGACGUGCUUAAUUUACGCGGUUUUAAGUGUAAAAAUGUGGUUCCUUUUUAGAGGUUGUUGGAUGAGGUAGCUUUGCUAGUCAGUCAAAAUUGGCUGACUAAUUUUGACUUUUCAUAUUGCCUGUGAGGUUUUUUUUUUUUUUUUUU